CUCCUUGUGUUAUCUUAACCAGUGGUAGUUUUUCGUUGACUAACUAGUAGGUUUUUAAUUUACACUUAGGACACUAUAAAGAAGUUAUUUUCCUUGAAGUUGUAUUUGGUUAUUUGAAAUAACAGUGAAAUCAUUUAAGAGGCAUGUUACCGGUUUUCCCCGUUUUUGUAAAAUUUAAAAAUUAUUUUUAACGGUCAUAUUGAAGAUAAGGAUUUU